rnacentral:lncRNA from 1 species
CAAGUGCUCCCAUAAACUGGGCCAACACAGUCAGGUGGCAGAAGUCUCCUAUGUGAAAAUGGCAGGCCCUCUCUUUAGGCUCAGGUCUGGUCAGUGACCUGGGCAGCCCUGAAUUAAUUGGGAGGGUCUGGGGAGAACAUCUGCUGGGAGCUGGACUGCAAAGAGCCGUGAAUGGGGAGGUCAGAGCCUGGGGUUCGGGACCUGGCUCUGCCACUCACUCACUGUGCUUCCCCCACAGUAGGCACUUUCGCUUUCUGGGCCCAGUCCCACCUCUCCAAAUCAUCAGAAGGACCUUACGAUUGUUUCUGCACUGUCGCCUAGCAGGACACAGGCCAAGGUUUUAAUCAUUAGCUGUCAUUCCACCCUGCUGUCCCAAUCCAAGCCCUCCCGAGCCUGCCUGAGUAAGAAAUCAAGGCCUCCCUCCCUGGCCCACUCACACCAAACCCAAGGUUCACGGCCAGCGGGCAAACUCGCCCACCACACCUCGGUCUCCUAAGACCCUUUCCUUGGCAAUCCAAUGAAAGCUCGGUGGAACGACAAAAGCUACAACUCAGCGUGCACAUGACACCGCCACUUGUGCUUCCUAGGAGGGUGAGAGGAGAUGAGGCAGGUGCCACUAAUCCACCCUAAAAAUAGGGAGAAGGAUGAGCUUUCGUGUCGGGGGUUGGGGUGUUCACACUUAAACAUAAAUCAACUGGCAAAUUCAGCCCAACUCACGUGCUGGCCCUGUCCACACAGACGUCGACUCCAGCAAAAAUGUCCUGACUGACUUCAGGAGAGAGGAAUUAUUGCUACGUGCCUCUUUCCCAGUGAAGAAAAUCUCUGUUGGCUGCGAGCAGAGAAGCGGCGGAAGGAUUCCCGACUCCGGGAAGCCAGGUGUCGGAAGGAGGAAGUACGCUUGAAGGGGGUCCGGCUGGCCGACUCUGCACUCGUCCGUUCGUGGCCCACCGUGGUGGUCACCAAAUUGAGGGCUUCCUGGAAGGACCUCCUCACGGUGCCCAUCCACUGGGUCAUGUGGGUCUGGGCCACUGUGAGUUUAUCUCCCAGGUAAUCCAUGGGGCCAGCCAGGAGGAGAGGGAAGAAGGAAGUUAGGGAGGGAGAGAGCAAUUAAAACGCCAGUGUCCUCUUGCCUCUUUGGACUCUUUUGCUCAUGGAAGUUUUGGGCUUGCUUGGAGGAAAAAAAAUUAAAAACAGCAGCUUUCUUCAGGCAAACCAAGGGUAAGUAAACAUCCCUGAGCCAGGAGCCGGCUGCAUCCACGGGUGCCGCUCAGAAUUAAGAGGCAGCUAAGUGCCAGGCUGGGAGUCCACCCCAGCGGAGUUAUAAAGUCAACACACUGGGCAGUCCAGGUUCCAGUUCCAGGGCUCACCCAGCUGAUCGGCCGAGACAAGGAGCUUUGAGGAACAAGCCGGCUGCACUCACUCCAGGGCGUGACGGUCCCGAAAGGCGGGGGAUGGGGAUGGGGGUGGGGGUGGAGGGGGCGGCCUUUGGGCACCCUCGUCCUCACUUCCCUUCAGGUAGGCAGCCCCCCUGAGGUGCACCCUGGGAGGUUCCGGUGGGCAAGCUGCCGCACCCUGCUGCCCCCUGCCCGGCUGCCCUCGGCCAGACCCCGCUCACCUGACCCAUGCAGGUUUUCUGUCCUCUGGCUGGAGAUUCCAAACCUGUCGGCCGGCAGGCGGCUAGCUCACUUCCGGAGGCAGCCACCAGGGCCCCCGGGUCCCCUGGCUGAGCAGCCCGGGAUGACAUCAGCCCCCGUCUUAGCGAGGGGCUUCGCUGCCCAGGAAUGCAGGAGGGGCCUCGGGGAGGCGGAGGCGGUGGCGGCGGCCGCCCAGGGAGCUGACGUCCGCCCCCAUUUUUUUCUCCCCCAAGUCCCAACUCGCUCACGGUCCCUCGGGGCUGAUGGCAACUUCACGUGCCUGCCAGCCUACCCACCCCUGUGCCCUCACAGCAAGCGCACCAGGAAAUGCGGCUGCACGUGUGUGCAUGUGUGUGCACUCUGUGUGUGUGUGCGUGUAUGUCGGCGAUCUGGCAGCCCCGGGAAGGUUAGCACUGCUGGGAAACGGCUUCUGCCUCUAAGGUUACAGGCAGCGUCUUGGGACCUCUGGUCGGCUGUCAGUCUGUCUCCCUCUCGUGGUCUGUUUCUCUGUUGAUUUCUCAGCCUCGCUCUCCUCCCUCUCCCUGUGUCUCAACUUCCACUUGCUUGUCUCUAAGCGUCUCUCCUCUCUCUCUCCUUUUCAGCUGUCUCUCCCUCCCUCUCUGGAAGGCAACACUGAUCCAGGAUCUCACUCUGUUGCCCAGGCUGGACUGCAGUGGCAUGAUCACAGCUCACUGCAGCCUUGGCCUCCCAGGCUCAAGCGAUCCUCCCACCUCAGCCUCCUCGGUAGCUAGGACUACAGGUGGAGCAACACCGUCAGUCAGAAGGCAGCGGAUGGCACAGGGCUUCCGCGUAAGGCCUGCAUCGCCUGAGUCAUGGUUUUCUCAUCUUGUAUGAGGCCCACCCCCUUCAAAAGGUUGUGACAAAAAAAACAACUGAGAUAAUUUGUGCCGCUGGCACAUAGUUAACACUCAAUAAGGCCGGGCGCAGUGGCUUACACCUCUAAUCCCAGCACUUUGGGAGGCUGAGGCAGGUGGAUCACUUGAGGCCAGGAGUUCGAUACCAGCCUGACCAACAUGGUGAAACCCCAUCUCAACUAAAAAUACAAAAAUUAGCCAGGCAUGGUGGUGUGCACCUGUAGUCCCAGCUACUUGGGAGCCUGAGGCAGGAGCAUCUCUUGAACCCGGGAGGUGGAGGUUGCAGUGAGCGGAGAUGGCACCACUGCACUCCAGCCUGGGCGACAGAACAAGACUCUGUCUCAAAACAACAACAACAACAAAAUAAUAAAUGGUGACCACAAGGGAUGAUCGUUUUUCUAUUAUAAUUCCUAUCAUCUCACUGUUCAAAUGAAUCACAGGACCCUAGACAGUCAGAAUCAAGACACCAGCAGGGACCAACCUAGGCCAACCUUCCCACUAAACUGAAGAAACAGGCCCAGACCGAGGGCUGCCCUAAGGCCUCACAGUCCAUCUGCAGCAGG